UGCGAUGUGGAGCAGUUGGUAGCUCGCCUGGUUCAUACCCAGGAGGUCGCAGGUUCGAUCCCUGCCAUCGCCA
rnacentral:tRNA from 1 species